rnacentral:rRNA from 1 species
UACGUAGGUGGCAAGCGUUGUCCGGAAUUAUUGGGCGUAAAGCGCGCGCAGGCGGCCUUCUAAGUCAGACGUGAAAUCCCCCGGCUUAACCUGGGAACUGCGUCUGAUACUGGGAGGCUUGAGUAUGGGAGAGGGAUGUAGAAUUCCAGGUGUAGCGGUGAAAUGCGUAGAUAUCUGGAGGAAUACCGGUGGCGAAGGCGGCAUCCUGGACCAUAACUGACGCUGAGGCGCGAAAGCUAGGGGAGCAAACGGU